rnacentral:rRNA from 1 species
UCAUAUGACCAGAUCACUUUGAAUGUGCCCGAUUUUGUCAGGUCUUGGAAGCUACGCAUGGUGGGGGGUCUGGUUCGUACUUGGAUGGGUGACUACCGGGGCUUGUCAAGUGCUGUAGGUU